rnacentral:rRNA from 1 species
GACAGAGGAGCCAAGCGUUGUCCGGAUUGACUGGGCGUAAAGCGCACGCAGGCGGUGGCGCGCGUGGGGGGUGAAAUCUGGCCGCUUAACGGCCAGGCGCCAUCCCAUACGGUGCGACUGGAGUGAUGCAGAGGUCGAUGGAAUUGCCGGUGUAGUGGUGAAAUGCGUAGAUAUCGGGAGGAAUACCAGUGGCGAAGGCGGCUUCUUGGCCUAUUCUUGACGCUGAGGCGCGAAAGCUGGGGGAGCAAACGGG